rnacentral:rRNA from 1 species
AAACGUAGGGGGCGAGCGUUAUCCGGAUUUACUGGGCGUAAAGCGCGCGCAGGCGGCACUGUAAGUUGGGCGUGAAAGCUCCCGGCUUAACUGGGAGAGGUCGUUCAAUACUGCAGUGCUAGAGGGUGGAAGAGGAGAGUGGAAUUCCCGGUGUAGUGGUGGAAUGCGUAGAUAUCGGGAGGAACACCAGUGGCGAAGGCGGCUCUCUGGUCCAUCCCUGACGCUGAGGUGCGAAAGCGUGGGGAGCGAACGGGAUUAGAAACCCUAGUAGUCC